UGAGGAAUAUUGGUCAAUGGGCGAGAGCCUGAACCAGCCAAGUAGCGUGCAGGAUGACGGCCCUAUGGGUUGUAAACUGCUUUUGUAUGGGGAUAAAGUCAAUCACGUGUGAUUGGUUGCAGGUACCAUACGAAUAAGGACCGGCUAAUUCCGUGCCAGCAGCCGCGGUAAUACGGAAGGUCCGGGCGUUAUCCGGAUUUAUUGGGUUUAAAGGGAGCGUAGGCUGGAGAUUAAGUGUGUUGUGAAAUGUAGACGCUCAACGUCUGACUUGCAGCGCAUACUGGUUUCCUUGAGUACGCACAACGUUGGCGGAAUUCGUCGUGUAGCGGUGAAAUGCUUAGAUAUGACGAAGAACUCCGAUUGCGAAGGCAGCUGACGGGAGCGCAACUGACGCUGAAGCUCGAAGGUGCGGGUAUCGAACAGGAUUAGAUACCCUGGUAGUCCGCACAGUAAACGAUGGAUGCCCGCUGUUGGUACCUGGUAUCAGCGGCUAAGCGAAAGCAUUAAGCAUCCCACCUGGGGAGUACGCCGGCGGU
rnacentral:rRNA from 1 species